rfam:Ovis aries breed Texel chromosome 1, whole genome shotgun sequence.
UGGCUCAGACGGUAAAGCGUCUGCCUGCAAUGCGGGAGACCCGGGUUCGAUCCCUGG